rnacentral:piRNA from 1 species
GCUUCCUGUCUGUGGGUGCCCUGUGACCAGA